rnacentral:rRNA from 1 species
AGCGAACGCUGGCGGCAGGCUUAACACAUGCAAGUCGAACGGGCACUUCGGUGCUAGUGGCAGACGGGUGAGUAACACGUGGGAACGUACCUUUCGGUUCGGAAUAAUCCAGGGAAACUUGGACUAAUACCGGAUACGCCCUUCGGGGGAAAGAUUCAUCGCCGAUAGAUCGGCCCGCGUCUGAUUAGCUAGUUGGUGAGGUAAUGGCUCACCAAGGCGACGAUCAGUAGCUGGUCUGAGAGGAUGAUCAGCCACAGUGGGACUGAGACACGGCCCAAACUCCUACGGGAGGCAGCAGUGGGGAAUAUUGGACAAUGGGCGCAAGCCUGAUCCAGCCAUGCCGCGUGAGUGAUGAAGGCCUUAGGGUUGUAAAGCUCUUUUGUCCGGGAAGAUAAUGACUGUACCGGAAGAAUAAGCCCCGGCUAACUUCGUG